rnacentral:lncRNA from 1 species
AAAUUUCAUUACCUACAUGUACUCGGAGACUUUUAAACAUACAAUCUAAAUGUCUACUAACACACGAUCCUAACAUACUCAUAAAAAAGGUGCCCGCUUGCAAGAGUCAAUUGUUCGAUCCUUUAAGUUAGAACAUUCUUUUCUAGUGUCAUUCAAAAUUAUCCAUUUACCUGCCCCAUUCCAUCGUAUUAUGUGAACUUUUUCUCGUCCUGAAUAUAGAUAAUUGUUGCUCACUAGACAUUAAAAAUAAUCAAUAAUUCAAUGCAAACAAACUCCCCUUUUCAAUAUAAAUUAUCAUGUUUUACGUUGUUUUUUAAUCAUCCGAGGAUGCAUGUAUGCCAAGAUCAUUUGUUCAAAAUUGUGUCCUCAAAUCACUUACGUACA